GCCUUCGCUGCCGUGUGGCAGCCCGGCCGGGUUCAUCCCGGCCGGAAGUCGGUUCGCAUCCGGCCGAAGGUAC
rnacentral:tRNA from 1 species